AUGUUCUUCACCUUCACAGUCCCCGUCACUGUUCGCUCCUGCAAAGAGCAGUUCUCCAGGCAGACAGAGAGACAGGAGAAAUACACCUCCGGGAGUCCAGAGGCAAAACCUAAAGACAACGGCCUCCCGCCGUUCAGCAGGUGCGACCCACUAUCAUCUACAGAGAACAGGGGCACUCCGUCCCCCCUCGCCGGGGUCGGGGACGUCUCCCAACGACCCCCACCAGUGACUCGUCGGCGCGUCCGCCUGAGUCGUAUACCGGUCUCAGAAAAUAGGCCCUGUCAGAAACGAAAAGAAAGACAGAAAAAAGCUUACCGGCUGCAGAUGAUUCUCCAGAUCGGUCUUCCCAUGGAGCCGGUGGGAGAUCCCAGACGAGCCCCCAAAUGUUAUGCUCAAGUCGCGAAAUCUCCCAAUGACCACCAGGGAACCGAUAUCCAAUGCAAAAGCAAGAGAGUUUUUAUUACCAAGCUCGAGCUGGUGCUCCCACCGAUACCUUCACAGCGGCCAUAGGGAGGAGCCCCGGGUUUUGGAUUACAUUGCUUAUAUAGGGAGUAUACAUGGGAAAAAAAAGGAUUUCUAGGUAGGGGAACAUCUGAUUGGUCACUUUCUUUCGAAGGUUGUGUGUUGGUUCUUGAUUGGUCCCUAUUGUCUAGCUAGACCACAAGUUCCUGAGCGUUCAGUUCAGUUUAGUUGCUCAGUCGUGUCCAACUCUUUGCAACCCCAUGAAUCGCAGCACGCCAGGCCUCCCUGUUCAUCACCAACUCCCGGAGUUC
rnacentral:lncRNA from 1 species